CUUCAGAGGGGGCUGGGUGGUCCCAGGGCGUGACCCUGGGCUGCCAGAAGCCACGCUAGGGUUGGUCAAGGCUCUCAGUGCAAGGUUUGGACAGAGUCGUUCUGUGCUGCGUUCUGCAGUUGUCAGCUGUCACCUGCAAACCUCACUAGCUCCCCUUAGGGCUUGGUGGGCAAAUAGUGUCAGUGAUGUGUGUCCACAGCCUCGGGAAACACUUCAGGUCCACGUUUUCGUAUGUUGUCACUAGAUUUCGGCCCUUCCAACUGAAAGGCUUCGGCACCUCGCGCGGUCGGUCCCAUGCUUGUCCUCUUAAAUACUCUUGAACUCUAUUCUGUCCUGAUACUGAAUAAUGCAAGAAUGGGUGGUUCCAGUUUUCAUCCCUAUAAACCGUACAUCUUUGUGCCAGUAAGUAAGCAUGAAACAAAUAAGUACGUCUGCGCUAAGCGAACGUAAAACACACGACAUCAGUCGGUUCUCGGGGAGUGAUGGAGCCAGUCAGGCUGAGCGGCUGUCACUCUGCCAGUCCGGGCUCUGGGGAGGUGGAACCAUUCAUAGUCCCCUGCGUGGAAAGGGGCUUGCCUGGGCCUUGUUUGGCUUUGCUAGUCAGUAGGUAGGUACAGGAGAGGUACCUUCAAAUAGCCUUAUGUGCUGGUAAGUGCAGGGAUGCUGGGUCCUGUGUCCCUUCUUAACCCAAGUGGCGCAGCUCCUCCUUGGAGAACCACCAUUGAUUUGCCUCUUCUCCGAGGCUAUUCAUCCCUGACUGUUGAGAGAGGACCCUGCUGCAGCCUCCAUGUGGCCAGUAGCACAGUUUUCAUCCCUUCCCAGUCCUCUCUCCGGCCAUGUCAACAGUGAGAGGUGGGUCGUUUCCAUCCCCUUCGGGGGGCUGCGGAUUCAUCCCUAUGGGAAACGGCAUCUCAUCACGGCGGGGGCGCUUGUUCCCUUUCAGCUCCCGAUUCUCCUGAAGGGGACAUCGGAUGAUGAUGUUCCGUGUCCGGGCUACCUGUUUGAAGAGAUUGCUAGUAUCCUUCCUCGACGUCCCCGUGUAGUGGAAAGAGCGGAUGGCAGGGUCCCAGAGUGGUGCGAAGGGUUCCUGGGGAUCCUGCUGUCCCUAGGGGGAUCCACGGCUCCUUUAUCAUUGUAACCAGGCGUGGGUGGGGUCUGAAGGCUGCAAUACUGAUGACACAGGGGACCCUAGAAGCCCCGGCGCUCCUGAUGGCGGAGCCUACAGUAGGCGCCUCCAGGGAACGUGAACUGAGAGGCCUCAUGGCCCGGUCUCCCUGCGGCCCGGCACAGCCUUCAUCAUCUCGCCCUUCCCUAACCCGAGCGUGCCGCAGAAAUCUCCCACGAGUCUCCGGGCAGCAGCCAGUGCCUGCUGGAGUACCUCCUGAGUCGCCUGCAUAGCAGCUCUGGCCACGGGAAGCUCAAGGUGCUGAAGAUCCUGCUCUAUCUGUGCAGCCACGGCUCCUCCUCGUUCCUGCUCCUCCUCAAACGCAACUCUGCCUUCAUCCAGGAAGCUGCAGCUUUUGCGGGGCCCCCAGAUCCUCUGCAUGGGAACAGUUUGUACCAGAAGGUUCGGGCGGCCGCGCAGGACUUGGGGAGCACCCUGUUCUCGGACACCGUGUUGCCACUGGCUCCCUCCCAGCCUCUGGGGACCCCGCCUGCCACAGGCAUGGGCUCCCAGGCCAGGCCGCACAGCACCCUCCAGGGUUUCGGCUACAGCAAGGAACACGGCCGCACGGGCUCGGCAGGCGAAGCCUUCCUCUCCACCAUCCAGAAGGCCGCAGAGGUGGUGGCCAGCGCCAUGCGCCCCGGGCCCGAGAGUCCCAGUACCCAGAGGCUCCUGCCGCGGGGUGACACCUACCAGCCUGCCAUGAUGCCUUCAGCCAACCACGGUCCCCCAACCCUGGGGAACCUACUCCCCGGGGCCAUUCCAGGUCCCCGAGCUGUGAGGCAUCAGCCUGGGCAGGCCGGAGGGGGCUGGGAUGAGCUGGACAGCGGCCCCAGCUCUCAGAAUUCCUCCCAGAGCAGCGACCUGAGCAGGGUCUCGGACUCAGGCAGUCAUUCCGGCAGCGACAGCCAUUCAGGGGCCAGCCGGGAGCCAGGUGACCUGGCAGAAAGGGUCGAGCUGGUGGCCCUGAGUGACUGUCAGCAGGAGUUGAGCUUGGUGAGGACUGUGACUCGGGGACCACGCGCCUUCCUGAGCCGCGAGGAGGCACAGCACUUCAUCAAAGCGUGUGGACUGCUCAACUGUGAGGCCGUGCUGCAGCUGCUGACCUGCCACCUGCGUGGGACCAGUGAAUGCACGCAGCUGAGGGCGCUGUGUGCCAUCGCCUCCCUGGGGAGCACCGACCUCCUUCCCCAAGAGCACAUCCUCCUCCGCACCCGACCGUGGCUGCAGGAGCUCAGCAUGGGCAGCCCGGGACCUGUGACCAACAAAGCCACCAAGAUCCUGAGGCACUUCGAGGCCUCCUGUGGGCAGCUGUCCCCUGCCUGGGGCACCUCAGCCGAGCCUGGCCCCACAGCUGCCCUCCCAGGCCCAUCUGACCUGCUGACCGACGCUGUGCCUCUUGCUGGGAGCCAGGUCUUCCUCCAGCCUCUGAGUUCAACCACAGUCUCGCCCCGGAGCCCUGCUCCCUCAUCUGGGAUGCCGUCCAGCCCUGUGCCCACCCCACCCCCAGAUGCCUCCCCUAUUCCAGCCCCUGGAGACCCCAGCGAGGCCGAGGCCAGACUGGCAGAAAGCAGGGGGUGGAGACCUGAACGGGUCCCAGGGGGCACGGACAGCCCAAAGAGAGGCCCCAGCAGCUGUGCGUGGAGCCGCGACUCCUUGUUUGCUGGCAUGGAGCUGGUGGCCUGUCCCCGCCUGGUGGGGGCUGGGGCUCCUGCAGGAGAGUCCUGUCCCGAUGCUCCCCGUGCCCCCCGAACAUCGUCCCAGAGGACAGCAGCCAAAGAGCCUCCUGGCUCAGAGCCGUCAGCUUUCGCGUUCCUGAACGCCUGACCCGAUGGCCUGGCCCUGGAGUCUUCAGCUUCAGCUGCUGCCUGGGGCGGUCUGUGCUUCCUGUGCAGCCUCAACCGUAGCUGCUGCAGUCUCCAGGCAACUUGACUUGAGAGGAGGACCCUAGGGCUACCUCAGUUUCCCCCAUGUCCUCUGCCAGAGGCUCUGGCUAUUUGGACUUGAAUCCCUACAAGGGAUAGGCAGGUGGCAGGGCUUCAGAAAUGUUGAUCUCAGGGCUCCCAGGGGGCAGCCCCUGCCUGUCUUGCCCUCAGACAUGAGGUUUCUUGUGUGAAUGCAGAAGUGACUACCAGGUUCUUUAUUUCAUUUUGAUCUCAGCUCCCUCCUUCCCCAGGAGGUCAUGAGCAGCAACAAGCCACUGCCUCACCGUCCCAUCGGGGUGGGCUACGUGCUGAGGCUGGGUUUGGUGCACAUGGGUUGAGGGUGUCUUGUCCGGGCUGCCUUGUGCUGUCUGGCCUGAGGCCGUUUCAAGUUUCAGAUCCCCACGUGAUCCUUCCCUGGCUCUCGCCUGCUCCUCUAUGCUGUAAUUGCUUCCUACACACGAAGCCUCUGAUUGGAGCCUCUGGUCCAUCUCAGAAAAACCUUCCGAGAGCGCUGGGGUUUAUGCUUUCUGAAUAAACACUACUGUUGACAUG
rnacentral:sRNA from 1 species